rnacentral:misc_RNA from 1 species
UUGUACAGCCGCCCGGAUUCGCAGGGGCAGUCGCUCAGAUUCGCUGGGAGUUCUCCGCCUGCAAUGUAUUCAAGUCAAGACAUGUUCUGGUGUACAAUGUACUCAGUUGUCCCUAAAAGGCUCUACCACCAGCUUGCAACAUUGGUAUUGAUCAUUCUAACAAAAUAUAUUCCACUGAACUUGAGAAGAUGCCUACUUAAUUUUCUUGUCUCUGUACUUGCGGUUGCCGAUCGAAAAUCUGCAUCAGCAAACUUAUGA